CCUACGGGAGGCAGCAGUGAGGAAUAUUGGUCAAUGGACGAGAGGCUGAACCAGCCAAGCCGCGUGAAGGAUGAAUGCCCUAUGGGUUGUAAACUUCUUUUAUCUGGGAAUAAAAUGUUCCACGUGUGGGAGUUUGUAUGUACCAGAUGAAUAAGGAUCGGCUAACUCCGUGCCAGCAGCCGCGGUAAUACGGAGGAUCCGAGCGUUAUCCGGAUUUAUUGGGUUUAAAGGGAGCGUAGGUGGAUUGUUAAGUCAGUCGUGAAAGUUUGCGGCUCAACCGUAAAAUUGCAGUUGAAACUGGCAGUCUUGAGUACAGUAGAGGUGGGCGGAAUUCGUGGUGUAGCGGUGAAAUGCAUAGAUAUCACGCAGAACUCCGAUUGCGAAGGCAGCAUACCGGCGCGCAACUGACGCUCAGGCACGAAAGCGUGGGUAUCGAACAGGAUUAGAUACCCUUGUAGUC
rnacentral:rRNA from 1 species